rnacentral:rRNA from 1 species
UACGUAGGGUGCAAGCGUUUGUCCGGAAUUAUUGGGCGUAAAGAGCUCGUAGGCGGUUUGUCGCGUCUGCUGUGAAAACCCGAGGCUCAACCUCGGGCCUGCAGUGGGUACGGGCAGACUAGAGUGCGGUAGGGGGAGAUUGGAAUUCCUGGUGUAGCGGUGAAAUGCGCAGAUAUCGGGAGGAACAUCAGUGGCGAAAAGCGGCUUCCU